ACCACCGUAGCGUGCCCCUAACAUGUUAAGUGAUCAUUUCCACAUGGGCGCGCAAAGGUGCCUAGUCAAAAUGAGAGCAACGGAAAAACCACUCAUGGCCUGCUAGGCAGGUCAGUACCCUGCCACAGAAUAAGCCUGCUCUGCUAAAACAAUAGGGUAUCCCAUUUCCGUCUUCCAAGAGGUGCGGGGACUGAGACGAUCGUUUGGUUCAGCACAAUGACUUAAACACAUCUGCGAAGGACAGUGAAAAAGCUAAAUCGAGAAUAGAAAGAUCACAAGGACAAUUUUGCCUUCAUCCGGUUCUACUUUCGCCGGAAAACUGAAAAAACAGGGACAACAAAUGACUUGCAUUGCUGCUGACUACUCUCUCAUAUACCUUGGAACGCCUCGAACACAGAGAAAGCGGCAAAAACCCGCGAUAGAGGGCUCAAACAGGAAAAACCGACGUGACAAGAAAGCUUCUAUGGCAGAUGGCGUUCACUGGUUCACUAACUGGCUAAACAAACAGCUGCCGAUACAAGCAACGAGGUUGAACAAAGCGUGUAGCUGAAAGGGGAAUUCCGUAUGGAAGGGGAUGUUAACUACAAAUUUUCGCCAGCAAGUGAUAAGGUCUUAGGAUGAGAUGAAAAUGGGGGUUUUAGGGACGGAGGCGGGAUAAAGGGCUAACCGUUGCCGAUGGCUAAAUCGGUUGGAAGUCGGUGUACUUGCCAAUGCGACACUCCAGAGUGAAGCAACACGGCGGGAGUGGGGGUUCCAAAAAGGCUCUGCUUGCCUGUCUACCUAAAGCACAAGCUUCCACCGAGCAAACGACCGUACUCGUACGCCCGUUUACUUAGUACAGUCAAACCAUUGUACCGACAUGAACGAAACAAGAAAAUGCCGUCGUCAGAUGUCGCCACUAGCGGUACAUGCUGGUAUUUUACCAUCACCCGCUAUUCAAGUACUGUAUACCAGUCGCACUCAAAACGGCAACAUAUAUCUUCCGUGGCGCUAUACAUCUUCUGUGGUUCAGCCUACCGCAUCGAGACUCGUUUCUCCAUGAGAGAUUCGUGGCCAGCCUUGACGUUCUUUCCUGGAGAUCUUCUCCCACGGUGCAUAGAUUGCCACAAUGAUAUAAAAAUGAUAACAAUAACCAGAUGUGGUGUCCCUAUCUUCACCAAGAAAGCGUGUACUCGAGGCCGUGCUUAAAGCUAUUUGCGUUUAUAGUUUUCGGAAGGGAUACUUUUGCCUUGGUUCCUCAAGUGUUGCCUCAGGGGCACGAGGAACGACUAGAAGUCUACAAUCAAAAGGUCAGGGCUAUCGUCAAUGUUCGUCCAUGUAAUGAGCCAACCGAGUGUCAGUUUUAUAUGGAGAGACCAAGGUGGACAGCCAACGCAGCCUCUAUGAGCCAAUGCCGAACCCAGUGCUCGAUCCACUCUAACGCAUGUACGGAUAAACCUGGUCUCGUGUUCCACCUGUUGAAAGGACACUCCUAGAGGAACCACCAGAUGCCAGAGGUUCCGCAUCCGCUACGCUUACGGCUUUCCGUCGCUAGAGUGGAAUGAAGAUUGCGUCGCGUACACUAAAGCUUUGGUUAAACGACCCCUCGUCGUGUCCUUCUCUAUUGGGGCAUAGGGAAGCCAGUAAGACACUGUCAGGCUUCUCUUUUUUCAUAUAGCGACCGACAACAAUUGACGCGAAAAGAUAAGCUCAGGCCCUCGCGGACGAAAACACCAGCUACCUAGGACCAGCCCCCACGAUGUGGACAUACACAGAAAACGACUACGAACAGAACGUGGUAACCGAACAGGGAACUCUCUACUCGUAGAAAACAAAGCGACAAGGAGUACAGAUCGCGAAAUUAUAGAAAGAUGAAACUCGAAGAAAUGUCUAGAUACUUUCAGACCAAAGAAGAUAUCUUGCUGAGUUUCUCGAGUAGUCAAACAGGAUCUUCACGUUUUACUUUUGUUGCAUUGUGUGUUGCAAAGCGUGUUGAAACGGCGCAUGAUCAUCUUCUACUAGACAACUAGACUGGGCAGGCGUAACAGUGACACUGUAACAAGGCCAAAACAAACAACGACCACUCAGCAAGAUGCCUGUUCAGCCAUUCCUAAAAUAGUUCGCAUAGGGUAACAGGAUUUGCUGUCUGCGUGAAAGGUUGGCGACGAAACGUAGUAGUAGCUAAGGUAGCUAAUACACUUGCUUAUAGAUUCGCUUUGUUUAUGUACAAGUAAGCGACUCUAGUACACAUAUAUAUAGAGCAUGGUAAUAAACAUAUGUACUCGUGAUGGUGUAGUGGUAACGUGUUUACCUACGAAACCUGAGGACAUGUCAGGCAGUCUAGGUUAGGGGCGGAGCACACAUUUUGUUCCGCACUAACAAGAGGCAACUGCCUGAAGCAAUAUUUAACCAACUCAGAACACUUAAGCAAUCAUCAUACACAUAUCUGCGAUUUAUAUAUGGUUUUAUAUAUAGAUGGUAUAUAAUAUAUGUAUGUCUUAAGAAUUGCUGGAGAGAUCACAGAUGAUCUAGCACAACUCGAAACGACUCGAGGUCGUAUCAAUAAGGCUUCAGCAAAGCUUCGGCUUUCACUUCGAGAUUUUCUCAGUCAUCGUCGACUGCUGGCAGGAGUCCAUGCAUUCUAUAAAAAUCGAUCAGUGGCUAUUUGUGUUCACUUAGGUACCAUGGGCGUACAAGCUAUUAGGGGUAUUUCAAUUUUCAGUUUUACUUUGAGCGAAUGCCAGUUCAGUAAUCCCAUAAAUGAGCUGAUGUUGGGUUAAAUGAUUAUUAAUACCUAACAUUGUACCGUUAUUUUGCUCGCUUUGCUUGAAUUCAGCAUUAGUCCUUUUUUUUUUGGCGGCAGUUGAUUCGAUAAAUAUGACAAGUGUUCUUUCACCUUUGCGGAGGCUAAAUAAAAACUAAAAAUGAGUGUUGAACCCAUUUUCAGUGUCUACGUAUCUAAAUUUUUCAUUUAGGUAGAGUCAGAGGUUUACUAAGGUAAGCUAAUAAGGCCAACAAUAACAAU